rnacentral:rRNA from 1 species
GACGAACGCUGGCGGCGUGCCUAAUACAUGCAAGUAGGACGCAGUUGCGAACGGGUGAGUAACGCGUAGGUACCUGCCUAUUAGAGGGGGAUCACUAUUGGAAACGAUAGCUAAUACCGCGUACUCGUAAAUGGACCUGCGUUGUAUUAGAUAGUGGGUAGGGUAAUUGCCUGCCUAGGAGACGUUACAUAGCCGAACUGGGAGGGUGAUCGGCAAAACUGGGACUGAGACACGGCCAAGACUCCUACGGGAGGCAGCAGUAGGGAAUCUUCGGCAAUGGGGGGAACCCUGACCGAGCAACGCCGCGUGAGUGAAGAAGGUUUUCGGAUCGUAAAGCUCUGUUGUUAAGGAAGCGGUACUUAACCAGAAAGGGACGGCUAACUACGUGCCAGCCGCCGCGGUAAUUC